CGAGUAAACGGCGUACGUACAAGUACUUCGUACUUACUAAUCGUAAGGCAAUUAACCAUUGCUCACAAAUUCUCAUCGCUUUCAGUUUCAAAAUUAUUCCGCACUUGAUUGACUUCUGCAGGCGAUUCUAAUUGUACUGUUGUUGAACUACUUUACAAAUUAAUGUGCUGAGGUGAGCUAGCUUGCUGACUGCUGACCGUGAAUAAACAGGAUCACCUUAUAGGGAGCCGCCACUAUUCUCAACAUCAUUAAUUCGUGCCGCAAGCUAGGUAGACGCUACAUUUUCGCCAGCUGAUACGAAAACAGCUGAUCUGUUGUAUUUCCCCUGUGCACUAUUGAGCGUCCUACAGUCGACAAUCGAAUACCAGACAUGGAGGCCCCUGUCCCGCAGUCCGUCCAGAAGCCCAUCACCAUCCCACCGAAUGUGGAUCCCUCGGCCAAGAGCACGCUUCCCGUCCGUUCGCCGCAGGAAGGAGGCGACGGCGAAUCUACGUGCUGGCUGUGCUGCUUCCCCAUUCCCAUCUGCAUCCCCAUCCCCUGCGAUUGCUGCUGAGUGCAUCUAAACAGAGCACAAAUCUCGAAUGCAUUCGGUCUGGAUAACCGCUUGAUGCUCUUCAUAUUUUGGAAGGGAUUGCCAUUAAUUCCUGGACCCGUCCGAUGUUACUUUUCGGUUUUAUAAAUUAUGCUGUUUAUUUUAAUUCUGGGAUUUUUCCCAAGGUGAAUGACUGAUACUGCAAUCACGCACGGCACUCACGACCUGGAAAGCGGAGAAGCGCUCCUGCCGAUCGGAAAAUAGUAUCGAUUUUCGUAGUUCGAUGGCUGCCUGUUUAAACAAAUGGUUUUGUAUGUACUAAUGUACAGAAAGCUGCGUUUUAUUGUUUUAACUAUGGAUGGGGCGUUUGCUGUUUUAUAAGGUUGAACUGUGGAAGAUGCUCUGCCGUAAAAAAAAUGCGAUCGUUGCCAGUUGCUGGCACCGGCAAAUGAGCUUAUUUAAAGGGAAAUAAAAUCCGUUUCAGGA